CCUACGGGGGGCAGCAGUGAGGAAUAUUGGUCAAUGGACGAGAGUCUGAACCAGCCAAGUAGCGUGAAGGAUGACGGAUCUAUGGGUUGUAAACUUCUUUUAUAUGGGAAUAAAACAGGGGAUGCAUACCCAUUUGAAUGUACCAUAUGAAUAAGGAUCGGCUAACUCCGUCCCAGCGCCCGCGGUAAUACGGAGGAUCCGGGCGUUAUCCGGAUUGAUUGGGUUUAAAGGGAGCGGAGGUGGAUUUUUAAGUCAGUAGUGAAAGUUUGUGGCUCAACCGUAAAAUUGCCGUUGAAACUGGAAGGCUUGAGUGCAGUAGAGGUGGGCGGAAUUCGUGGUGUAGCGGUGAAAUGCUUAGAUAUCACGAAGAACUCCGAUUGCGAAGGCAGCUCACUAGACUGUAACUGACACUGAUGCUCGAAAGUGUGGGUAUCAAACAGGAUUAGAUACCCGUGUAGUC
rnacentral:rRNA from 1 species